UGUUGAAAACAUUUCAACAGAGUUUUCAACGUUGCUAACAACGUUGAUUGCAAGUUGCAAUUUCCGUGACGUAUUGUUUUUAGUGUUGAUACGUUUUCAACGUUAAAUUUUUUGCCAACUGUAAAACAGUGAAAGUAGUUCAAACAGUUCGUAAUAUUACUAAAAUUCGCGGGUAGUAGUCACAUCUCUGGUAGUUCUACGUACUUCUAACCUAAUAGAAAUCAAACCCAAAAUUUUUUCGUUUUGUAGUUUAUAAGUGUUAAUAUGAAUAGAAAGAAGACUAGCAAGUCUCAGUUUAAAAUAUAUUUAUCAUAUUUAAAGAGGCAUGAUAUAUUAAUAACAGGAAAGUUGACUCCAUCCACAAACACGGAGGGCCUAAAACAAAUUUGGAAUGAAAUGGUCGCCAAUCUUAAUAGUUGUGGGGAUGGUCCUGUGAGGAAUAUAGAGGGAUGGAAAAAGGUAUUUCGAGAAUGGAAAUGUAUUAUUAGAAAAAAAGCGAGAGAAGGAAAAGAGUUAAACGAAAUUGAGCACGAACUAAUUCGAUUAACGGGCGAAAUUGCUGUUACCGGAUUAGAUCAUGUUGAAUUGGGCAUUACUGAGGGCAUUAGCAAUGAAGGUGAAACUGCAGAAGCUUCUCCAGAUGUCGAUUUCGACAUUGAAAAUUUAGAGGUAGUGCAAGAGGAUGAAGAGCGAUUAUCUGAUGAAAAUCUACAGCCCACAUUACAUAAAGAAAAUGCAAAUGCUGCUCUGCCGUCUACCUCUCAAAAAAAACCUAAAAAAUGUACGGAAAAUCCCUUACUGAAAGCCUAUGUGAAUGCGCAAGAUGAAGCAAGAGAUGGCAUGACAGAUAUUGCAAAUGCUUUAAAUAAUAUAGCAGCAUCAAUAAACAGAUUUUGUGAUGUGUAUGAAAGAGUAAAUCUUGAUAUGUAAAUUUAUUAUGUACUUACAUUUAAGGGUUGUGUAAUACAUUUUUUUUUGAGGAAAUAUUAAAAGGACUACCAAAGAACAAUAUAAAGUUUAUUUAACUUAUCUUCAAAAAAAUAAACAUACUUUACAAAUAUACCUAAAGAAGAUUUCCAAGUGAUGUGUCUGGAACUGAACUCCAUUGCUGGACCAAAAAAGACUAUUCAUGAAUGGCAGCAGACAUUUUAUGAAUGGAGUAGUCGAACAAAAAAAAAGCUCGAGAUAAUUUAAGAUACAUGAUGGAGACUGGAGGAGGACCUGGACUUGACAAUUAUUUAAAUGACAUCGAAGAAUUACUGAUAAGCAUACUGAAGUGGGUUACAAUCAAUGGCAUGAAUGUAAGUGAACUAGGCGUUUAUAAGUCUAAGACUGUGUGUAGCAAAGUAAGGAAAGAGAUGCAUCAAAAGAAAAUGACUAUUUCUGUGGCACCAAAUAUAAGAAAACGACCUAGACUUCUUCAGAAGCGUAUUAUGCAUACUUUUGAUCUUAAACAAAAGUUGUAUUUGCAAUCCAUCAAGGAAUUAAGAACUGCCAUUAUAAAUUUGUUUACUUCCAUUGAUAGACUGCAACUGGUGGGCUGUAAUGCAAAACUCGGUGUUUAAGGAGACACCGAAAUCUUGUUUUAAGAACUCCGUUCAACCUUUCGAUCACAUUUCUUACACUUCUAUGUGCAAUAUUAUAAGCACGUUUUGCAUCUGUAUCAGGAGCUGUUAUGGGUGUCAUCAGCCAUGGUUCGAGUGGAUACCCAGAAUCGCCUUCAACAAAACUUUGUAUAGAUUCCCCAUACAUGUACAGUGAUUAUAAUACCAAGUAAAUAGGAGGAUAAUCAGGAUGAUUAAUUGGAGGAGCAACUAUUGCAAUGUGUGUGCAAUCAACAGCACCAACAAUACCUGGGAACCCAUGGGCCAUAUUCAUAAAACUAUAAUUUGGAAUGUGUA